ACGGCUCAGUAACACGUGGACAACCUGCCCUUUGGUCCGGCAUAAUCCUGGGAAACUGGGGGUAAUUCCGGAUAGGCCACAGAUGCUGGAAUGCACUGUGGCCCAAAGCUCCGGCGCCGAAGGAUGGGUCUGCGGCCUAUCAGGGUUGUAGUGGGUGUAACGUACCUACUAGCCUACGACGGGUACGGGUUGUGAGAGCAAGAGCCCGGAGAUGGAUCCUGAGACACGGAUCCAGGCCCUACGGGGUGCAGCAGGCGCGAAAACUUUACAAUGCGGGAAACCGUGAUAAGGGAAUCUCGAGUGCCAGCAUAUAAUGUUGGCUGUCCAGAUGCCUAAAAAGCAUCUGUUAGCAAGGGCCGGGCAAGACCGGUGCCAGCCGCCGCGGUAACACCGGCGGCCCGAGUGGUAGCCACUUUUAUUGGGUCUAAAGGGUCUGUAGCCGGCCAUGUAAGUUCCUUGGGAAAUCUGGCAGCUCAACUGUCAGGCUGCCAGGGGAUACUGCUUGGCUUGGGACCGGGAGAGGUGAGAGGUACCUUGAGGGUAGGGGUGAAAUCUUGUGAUCCUCGGGGGACCACCAGUGGCGAAGGCGUCUCACCAGAACGGGUCCGACGGUAAGGGACGAAAGCUAGGGGCACGAACCGGAUUAGAUACCCGGGUAGUCCUAGCCGUAAACGAUGCUCGCUAGGUGUCAGUCACGGUGCGACCGUGAUUGGUGCCGUAGGGAAGCCGUGAAGCGAGCCACCUGGGAAGUACGGCCGCAAGGCUGAAACUUAAAGGAAUUGGCGGGGGAGCAC
rnacentral:rRNA from 1 species